rnacentral:rRNA from 1 species
UACGGAGGGUGCAAGCGUUAUCCGGAUUCACUGGGUUUAAAGGGUGCGUAGGUGGGCAGGUAAGUCAGUGGUGAAAUCUCCGGGCUUAACCCGGAAACUGCCAUUGAUACUAUCAGUCUUGAAUACCGUGGAGGUAAGCGGAAUAUGUCAUGUAGCGGUGAAAUGCUUAGGUAUGACAUAGAACACCAAUUGCGAAGGCAGCUGGCUACUCGGAUAUUGACACUGAGGCACGAAAGCGUGGGGAUCAAACAGG